UACGUAGGGGGCGAGCGUUGUCCGGAUUUAUUGGGCGUAAAGAGCUCGUAGGCGGUUUGGCAAGUCGGGUGUGAAAACUCCGGGCUCAACUCGGAGACGCCACUCGAUACUGCCAUGACUCGAGUCCGGUAGGGGAGACUGGAAUUCCUGGUGUAGCGGUGAAAUGCGCAGAUAUCAGGAGGAACACCGGUGGCGAAGGCGGGUCUCUGGGCCGAUACUGACGCUGAGGAGCGAAAGCGUGGGGAGCGAACAGG
rnacentral:rRNA from 1 species